rnacentral:rRNA from 1 species
UACUUAUCGUACCAAAAUUAGGAUGCCAGUAGCUUAUCAGACCAUCUACUUGAGGAGCUCCUCCAGAAGUAGGCGGAGGGGUGCCGGCGGCUGGAGCGCGCGCGGAGGCGCCGGACGCAGAGGAAGGCGGCACAGUAGCGGCCGGUGCAGAAGGAAGCGGCUAAGGCGCAGGAUGUGGGCGGCGGAGAGGAGCCGUAGGAGACGACCCUAGAGUGGGGCCGCGUCGGCGGGGUGGGAAGGCGGCGGCGUCGCCGGUGGAACCGGCCGCGGCUGAAGAGCACGAGGAAGGAGGGAGGCAGGGCGCUGGCGACCACGGAGGCGCUGCAGGCACUACCGGCGCGGGAAAAGAGGGGGCGGGAGCUCCCCUGGCGGGCAAAAGGGCUGAUGGUGAUAUUGGGUUCGCUAGACCAAUGCCUCAAGCGGCAGACGCUGGGGGACGUGGCCGCGAUGGACGAAGACGGGAGGCAGGGGCUGGUAGAGCGGACAGUUCGGGUAGGCGGCCUGUAGGACUUUACGCUCGGGAAGGUACGAGGAGGGCCGCUGGUACUCUUUGGUAGCAAGUCUCUGAAGUCUCACUACACGAAUCACACCACGUUUUGGUUCGAGGAGGAGGAGCAGAAGAGAAGGACGCGGCCUGUUACCGAGCGGCUAGGAUAAUGAAAACUUUACUACCUCAAUAGACGGCAGUUGGAAGGCAGAGGUGGACCGGCAAUACCCGUCGUCUACCGGUAACACCUCCGUCCUCUUCCUUCCGAACCCUACGAAUGAUAGACACUAUUUUAAGUUUCACUACGUAUAGUAGAGAAAAUACGACAUGUCAGAUCCCUACCCUUACCGCGUUUGGUCACCGUCAGGUUCAGGGACUAGCGAAACGGCCUUUUAAUACCGAUAACGUAGUACCCACAUCGGCCACCUAUGAAUGAGGAUACGCCCAUAGGCCUUCUGUUGUCCGGUUAUCAUCGGAUAAAAAGUGACUUAGAGGUCUGAAAGGUCCAACUCACCAAGACAGUCUGACUACUAAUACAGAACUAACCACUGGAUAGGUCGGCGGGGAAGGUAGAGGAGAAGGUGUUGGCCGGUGGCAGGGCUAGACUUCCAGAGGCUGGUCUAGUCGGAGGAGGGGUGGUGCCGCACGCCGCUCCUCAGGGGCCUAGCGAGCGGCAGUGGGUCACGCCACGUCUAGACCAUCAGGCGGGAGUGGUUCGUAAGCUACGCAACUGCCGAGGAUCGUGGUCUAUGGCGCUGCUUGCUCGACACAAGACGGAGGAGGCCGACGGCUCCUGGUGCCUGCGGUGAAGCAGAGUGGCCGACCGAGUCGUAGUCGUGGCCGGUGAUGAGUGUCCACACGUUUUAACAACGAUGCAGUACCUAGAUAGUGAAAACGAGAACCAGAACACAAGAGGUCUUGAGGACCUCCUCUAGAAGGAGGCCGAGGGGCGCCGGCGGCUGGAGCGGGCUCGGAGGCGCCGCACGCAGAGGAAGGCGGCGCAGCAGCGGCGGGUGGGGAAGGAGGCGGCUAAAGCGCGGUAGGUGGGCGGCGGGGAGGAGCCGUAGGAGACGCCGCCGGAGUGGGGGCGGGUCGGCGGGGUGGGAAGGCGGCGGCGCCGCCGGUGGAAGCGGCUGCGGCUGAAGAGGACGAGGAAGGAGGGGGGCAGGGCGCUGGCGACCACGGAGGCACUCCAGGCGCUGCCGGCGCGGGAAAAGAGGGGGCGGGACGUUCCCUGGUUGGUGUUAAUGUUGGGGUCGCUAGACCAGUUCCUUAAGCGGCAGACGCUGGGGGACGUGGUGGCGAUGGAGGACGAUGGACAGGAGGGGCUGGUAGAUCGGUCAGUUCAGGUAGGCGGCCUGUGGCACCUUACGCUCUGGAAGAAGCGAGGAGGACCGCUGCUACUCCUGAGUAGUAAGUCUCUGAAGUCUCAAUACACGAACCACGCCAGGUAUUGGUUCGAGCAGGAGAAGCAGAAGAGAAGGACGCGACCUUCUACCGAGCGACUAGGCUAGUGUAAACUACACGAACCUACGCGCCACCAUAGUGCGGCGAUGAUGCGGGUAGCUACGAAGGCAACCGGUCUAAAUACU